AAAUAGGUUGCAAAAUAAACAACAAUACCUAAGAGGAAUGAUAUUAUUCAUGAUCAAAGCACUUGAUAUGUGAUAGUGCUAAGACGCGCGGAAAUAUCAAUAAGUUCAUUUUCUCUUAUGAGCUGGAAUUUCACAAGGAAUGAAUGAAUGAUUAAUUGAUUAUUUUUUUCUCUAUCUCUCACCAUUCUCAGACAAUGAAGAUUGGAGGAGCACUACCCUGCACUGUCCUGACACUGAUUGCAUUAGUCCUUUUCAAUAAUGGCUGUCUCGGGGAAUCAACGACUGAAUCAUCCACAGCUGGAGAAGCAACAACUGCAGCGUCGACAUCCGAUUCUUCAACUAUCACAACAGAGUCUUCAACAGAAGCAUCAACUUCAUCGAUAGCAGCGUUCGCCAAUGUCACAGACUGCUGCGUGAUAUUCACAAGUAUAGACUCCUGUCCAUCAGGAGUUUGCGUAGAUAAUGGAGCUGAUCUUGAAUGCAUGUAA
rnacentral:sRNA from 1 species